GAGCGUGAGCCGCUCGCCCACCGGCCCUCUCCUGUCCCAGGUCGGGCCGCCGAAACCAGGAGGCCCACAACUCCCAGCACGUCCCCCUAGGAGUCACGGGUCUUUCUGUUUUUGCUGCCUAAACCGGUACAGGAGGACACCGCCUCUUCUCUCUCACCUUUCUCUACCUGAGCCCUUUCGAACUGCAAUCCCAGCCUGGUCUCCCCACCCCUCCCAUUGUAAGACUCAACUCCCAGAAUGCCCCAGCCAAUAUGAGCGCCUGGGAAUUGCAGUCACGCAACCCUGCAGAGUUUCAGGUCAGGAAAGCAAGCAAAUAACAUUUAUCUGGGAGCGAGUUCUAUUUAACAAAAUGAGAUUCACUUCUGAGUAGAUACGCCCAGGAUUGCAGCAUGUGGGAAUACAAGGCCUCUGCAUCAUUCUCGAGGAGGAAGAAAGGAAAGAGUGCAGGGUGGGCAGAACAAUACCCGAAGAGUAUAUAAUAACCAAAUAUUUCUUGCUUCUGUGUCACCCUUCUUUGGGCUAAGAAAGCUGACAGGAAGAAAAUGGGUGUUGGGGGAAUGCUUUGCAAGCACCUUGGACUGCCAGAAGGACACACAAAUGGAUUGUAAAUCAAAUCAAGCCAGAACUUUUCCUGAAAACAAAAAUAAAUGAAACUGAACCUGCUGUACUUUGGGCACAUCAUAAGAAGGCAAAACUCAUUGGAAAAGGUAAUGCUAGAGAAAGUAGAAGUUAGAAGAAGAAAAAGAUGGAUUGACUCCAUAAAGGAAGUCACAGCCACAAGUUUAUAAAAGCUGAGCAGGGCUGUUAAGAACAGGACAUUCUGGAAGGUUGCUGAAAGUCAGAGAUGACUUGGUGGCACGUAACAACACCGGACAUGACUUCAGUUUUUCCUUUUCAAUUCAGCUGCCUGUCCUUCCCCAUUUUCUGUGAAUCCUCUGUGCUUUUCAGAAAAUGCAUGCAUCUGUAUGUUUUGCAAUGAAUGCGUCUAUUAUAUAGAACAGUGGAAGAAGGCCGUAUAUUUCCUAUAAAUUAGCAUUCAUCUGUAACCUAAUAGGUUUUCUUGGAUUUCUGCUUAAGGACUGACAGUUUUAAAAAGCUGCUAUUUCUGGAAUUAGCAAUAAUCUCUGUUCUCUAACUGGGACUACUUAAUUGCUCUAGAAUCAUUUAUUUAAAAAGGUCAAAUACACAUAGCUGUAGAGUGCUGAUUCCUUCAAGGCAACAGUCCUAUUUUCUGGAAUUUCUCACCAGUAUGCCAUGGGGUGGGAAGAAGGAUCUAUCUUGUGAGAUAAGAAUGAAUGCUGGAAUUCUUGCUGUGGUGGGGAAGGUAAGAUAUUUCCUCCUAUAGAGAUGAGGCAAAACAACCCUAUGAAUAGCACCUAAGAAACACAACUCAACUUUUUCCCACAGAAACAAUAGUUAAGGUCAUCAAGAAGCAAUCAAGCACCACUCCAACAAUUUGCCUAAAUCUGGGAAACUCACUUUUCCUAUAAACACACCCACAGAGAGGUAUAGUCUAAAGAUCAGACACUUAGGAUGCAGAGUUGAACAUGCUUUGAACAUAACUGGAAGAGAGAGGCCAGCUCUGGACACAGGCCUGUGGAUGGCUUCUUGCCCAUACAGUACAUUGCCAUACAGGCAAUGGAUCUCCCCACCCCCGCUGCCUGCUCCAGCUUGUUAGCAUCUUUCUCUGCCAGACAGAUAGUUCUUUAUAUCUUUAGAAACAUACAGCAAGAUCGGGGUACAAUAGGAAUAUUUGCUACCUAGAUAAC